UCGUCCCAAGCGACGGGUGACCGAUUGUA
rnacentral:sRNA from 1 species